rnacentral:rRNA from 1 species
GAUGAACGCUGGCGGCGUGCCUAAUACAUGCAAGUCGAGCGGUAAGGCCCCUUCGGGGGUACACGAGCGGCGGACGGCUGAGUAACACGUAGGAACGUACCCCAAAGUGAGGGAUAAGCACCAGAAAUGGUGUCUAAUACCGCAUGUGCUCUAAGGAGUAAAGCUUCGGCGCUUUGGGAACGGCCUGCGCAUGAUUAGCUUGUUGGUGAGGUAAUGGCUCACCAAGGCGACGAUCAUUAGCUGGUCUGAGAGGAUGACCAGCCAGACUGGGACUGAGAACGGCCCAGACUCCUACGGGAGGCAGCAGUAGGGAAUUUUCCACAAUGGGCGAAAGCCUGAUGGAGCAACGCCGCGUGCAGGAUGAAUGCCUUCGGGUUGUAAACUGCUUUUAUAUGUGACGAAUAUGACGGUAGCAUAUGAAUAAGGAUCGGCUAACUCCGUGCCAGCAGCCGCCGUAA